rnacentral:lncRNA from 1 species
GGGGACCUGCUGGGGCCUGAGCUCUCCAGCCCGGAGGCCACCAGAGGAGCUGCAUCACAGACUCUGCCCCUUGCAGGUGACUCCUAGGAAGGCAGAGGGGGACCUCGUCCCAGUUGUCCCUCCCAGACUAGAGGAAAGGACUCUGUUGGGUAAAACUUCGAUUUCCCUGUGCGUCUAACUCUGGGAGUGUGCAAGAUCUGCCGAACCACAGGGGGUUUCAUUUUUCACUUGCUUGGUGUCUGAGGAAAACUGCAAGGAGUGGUAAGAGGAAGAAGCAUUAUAAACUUUGGGAGCAGGGACAUCUUGGAAGUGGCAAGUAGCCUCAGACCGACGGUUCCUGGGCCAGUGACGUCCUUUGCUCAGACACUCUGAAGGGUCUGGACGCCGCCACAUGACCAACACCAGAGACCCCAGGAGAGCCAUGGAAUCCACGCUGGCACCAUCCAGUUCUGCCACAGGCCCAGUCACCUUCUCCCACGUCUUUGGUCAGCAGUGCCAGCUCAUGGAAGCAGUGCACCUGUUGGAGGGAAAUGAACUUGCUGCCUUCAAACAAGCCCCUAAGUUGCAGACCCAAGAGUUGAGCUCCGUCUGUCCUCCUCCUUGUUCCUCUGUGCCUUCCCGCCUCUCCUACGCUCCCCAGACUUACAAUCGACUGAGUCCACUAAUAAGGUACUUGAAAGGGGCUGGCAGAUGGUCAAGUGCUGUAUAAACGUACGUUGUCAUUGUUAUUAUAGAUGGGACUUGGGGUUCAUUUCUGAGAUGACCCUG